rnacentral:rRNA from 1 species
CUACGGGGGGCUGCAGUGAGGAAUAUUGCACAAUGGAGGAAACUCUGAUGCAGCAACGCCGCGUGGAGGAUGACGCAUUUCGGUGUGUAAACUCCUUUUAUAUGUCAAGAAAAUGACGGUAGCAUAUGAAUAAGCACCGGCUAACUCCGUGCCAGCAGCCGCGGUAAUACGGAGGGUGCAAGCGUUACUCGGAAUCACUGGGCGUAAAGGACGCGUAGGCGGGAUAUCAAGUCAGGUGUGAAAUCCUACAGCUUAACUGUAGAACUGCACUUGAAACUGGUAAUCUAGAGUAUGGGAGGGGGAGAUGGAAUUAGUGGUGUAGGGGUAAAAUCCGUAGAUAUCACUAGGAAUACCUAAAGCGAAGGCGAUCUCCUGGAACAUAACUGACGCUAAGGCGUGAAAGCGUGGGGAGCAAACAGGAUUAGAUACCCUUGUAGUC